ACGCUUUGAAAAUACAAACAUAUUUCUCUAUCCGGGGCCAAGGCCGGGGCUGCUCCCGGAAGGAAACGCCGCGGCCCCGGGAGCGCAGGCGCGGAACCGGGAGCGGCAAUGGCGGAGCCCGGGGAGCGGCGCGGCCGGGCCGGGGCACCGGGGGCGGCGGCGCCGGGCUCGGAGCCAAGAACAUCCCAAAGUGCCUCCUCACCCUCAUGGACAGCAGGAACGUCUUCCAUGGCUCCUGUUUAGGAAUGGCAGUGGCCGUUGGGAGCUCUGGCAGGAGCACCUGGAGACCAGCAGGAAAACAUUUAAACAAGAGGUGCCAAAGAGAAUUGGAGCUUCUGCACAAUGAAAUCUGCAAGAAUCCAACUUCAAAUCCCCCUGGAUUGUCACCGGUCCCACUUCCAUGGACUGGUCACCGUGGCCAGGAGUGCCCAAUCCUGCUGGAAAUGCACUGAACCAGGAUGUCAUUUUCACUUGAUGCUGGUAAAGACCCUCUGGGUGACCCCCAGUCACUGGAAGGACCAGACUGGGCUCCCAGGGCACUAAUUCCAGGGGUUCUGUUUUUGGGAAUAGCACAGGAGCCUUUCCCUUGCCCAGAGGAGCAGCAAGUGCCUCAAAUCCCCAGGAUGGACACAGAGAAAAUAACAGGAAUAUGGAAAUCCCCCACACUGGGAGUUUGUGGUGCUCUGGAUUACAUUUUGGAUUUAAAAUGUUAAAGGAGGGUGUGGAGGGGCUUUUCUCUCUCUCCUGUUCAUUAUUGUUCUCACUGCUCUUGUUGCUCUCACUGUUAUUGUGUGUUGUCAUUAAUAUUAAAUUAUUGUAUUUGACUGGUUUCCAUUAUUAAACUGUUCUGAGCUGGA